AAGUAUAAUAAUGUGAUCCAGUAUGCACUUUCGAUUGUUUCUGGUGAAAGUAUUAAGAUAUACAAUGCUAUAAAUGGUGGCACUCUCAAUUUGGUUGAUAAGUUCUUUGAGAUGCAGCAGCGGCAUGAUGCCCUCAGGGCACUUGAAAUUUAUCGGAAGGCAGGGUACCAGGCAGAGAAGUUGUCCGAGUUCUAUGAAAUCUGUAAGGGCCUUGAUAUUGGGCGGGGGCAAAUUUUUGGUAAAAUUGAACAGCCACCAAUUUCAUUCAUUUCGGCUAUGGAAGAAUAUGUAAAGGAUGCACCAGCUCAGCGA
rnacentral:misc_RNA from 1 species